GACGAACGCUGGCGGCGUGCUUAACACAUGCAAGUCGAACGGAAAGGCCCCCACUUUUUUGGUGGGGGUGCUCGAGUGGCGAACGGGUGAGUAACACGUGGGUGAUCUGCCCUGUACUUCGGGAUAAGCUUGGGAAACUGGGUCUAAUACCGGAUAGGACCAUGGUUUAGUGUCUCAUGGUGGAAAAAUUAUUGUUUUGGUGCAGGAUGAGCUCGCGGCCUAUCAGCUUGUUGGUGGGGUAAUGGCCUACCAAGGCGUCGACGGGUAGCCGGCCUGAGAGGGUGGACGGCCAGAUUGGGACUGAGAUACGGCCCAGACUCCUACGGGAGGCAGCAGUGGGGAAUAUUGCACAAUGGGCGCAAGCCUGAUGCAGCGACGCCGCGUGGGGGAUGACGGCCCUCGGGUUGUAAACUCCUUUCGUUAGGGACGAAGCCGCACCUUUUUUGGGUGUGGUGACGGUACCUUUGUUAAGAAGCACCGGCUAACUACGUG
rnacentral:rRNA from 1 species